CCGUGAACCGUCUUUAACUCGUUCAUUCGAGGGGCGGGCCUCCGUGCCCACCACUCGUUGCCCCAGGGCCAAGGUUGCGGGUCAAGCCCCCCCUUGUCGUGGGCGCAGAAUACAAACCCCCCCGGCGCAAAUCGCGCCAAGGAAGAAGAAAGAGAGACGUGCUCCCUCGGUAUCGGAAACGAUGCACCGGGGAGCGUGUCGUCGUUAUCUACUCGAAACGACUCUCGGCAACGGAUAUCUCGGCUCUCGCAUCGAUGAAGAACGUAGCGAAAUGCGAUACUUGGUGUGAAUUGCAGAAUCCCGUGAACCAUCGAGUUUUUGAACGCAAGUUGCGCCCAAAGCCAUCUGGCCAAGGGCACGCCUGCCUGGGUGUCACGAAAUGUUGCCAAACAAACAUCAUCCCUUCACCACCCUAAUACGGGGAAAGCGUUGAGGGCUGGGUUGGCGGAUAUUGGCCUCCCGUGCGCAGUCGCUCGCGGUUGGCCUAAAAAGAGAGUCCCUCGACGAGGUGGCCACGACAUGCGGUGGUGGUUGAAAGCACACGCUCUCCUCGAACACCGUCGUGGGCGAGCCUCGUCGAAAGGGGAGAGUUCAAGGGCCCCGACGCGGAGCGUCUCCCACAUAGCGACCCCG
rnacentral:rRNA from 1 species